AGUUCGUACCAUCAACAUCGUUUUUGUUCUUUUAUUCACCCAUCGUAACUCGAAGCCAUGAGUCUGCUAUUUAUGGGCCCAGCCUGAGAAUCCAUUUCGGGAUUACUCAUACAUCGUUCCCAACAUAAAUCUGGUAGCAGAGCGUGGUUUUACUGUGUGGAAAAUAUGAAAUCUGAAUGAUAAUAUGGUACAACUGAACUCCAUGGUUGCUGUUUACAUCGAGCUCCACGUGCAUGACCCCCAAAUCGCCAGAAUGUCAUCCAAGAUAUAUCAUCAUGUGAAGAUAUAAAGAGAUGUAACCCAUCUUAUGUUGAUGGUGAAUAUUGGUUAUAUCCUGUUAUAUAUAAUCAUACCAGAGUGAAGAUAUAUUGCUAUGAAUUGUCAUCGUUACAACCGACAGAAUACGUGACUCUUCACCACCUUAACCAAGCUGUAACACUUACUGGUGGUUAUUCUGGACCGUCGACGAAUUGCAGUAUCGAUGAAACGCUUGUAUAUAAUGACCAAGGAGAGACUGAGUGGAACAAAAUCCGACUGGAUAUUACCUCCGGGGAAGUUCUAGAUGAUCAUACGUUUACCAUACAAACAAGUGGAGUACCAAUACCAUAUGGUGAGGCCGAAGGUUGUUCUAAUAUAGUAUACUACCUAUCAUGUCCUAAACGUGGUUAUGCUUUGGUUGAUGU